rnacentral:rRNA from 1 species
AUGCCGGUAUGAGUAGCGAAAGACAGGUGAGAAUCCUGUCCACCGAAUGAGUAAGGUUUCCUGGGGAAGGCUCGUCCGCCGAGGGUUAGUCGGGACCUAAGCCGAGGCCGACAGGCGUAGGCGAUGGAUAUCAGGUUGAUAUUCCUGUACCCGUUGUUUUUGUUUGAGCAAUGGAGGGACGCUGGAGGCUAAGGAAUGCAGACGAUCGGAAAUGUCUGUCCAAGCAGUAAGUCUG